UGAUCUGCCCAUCUCAGCCUCCCAAAGUGCUGGGAUUACAGGCAUGAGCCACCAUGUCUGGCCAGGAAUGCUUUUCGAACCCACCUAAUAGGACUACUAUCCCCUGAAAUGGGAUUGUUCUGAGGAGUAAAUGAGCUGAUUACAUGUACAGUGAGUAGUCCAGGGCCUGGUGCAGGAAGAGCUCCAUAAAUACCAAUGAUUAUGGUGAGAUGAAUUAUCCUAAGGCCAAGGCCCCCCAGUGGAUGCCCAGAGCCCCAGAGACCACCCUGCUCCCCGUCGGAAACUGUGCCAACCAAGGCUACUGGGGAAGAGUGUAUGAAUAGCCAGGUAAGGGAGCCUUCUCACAGCUGCACUUGGUGCCCAAGCCACUGAGGGCGGGUCAGUGGAGGGGGGCAAGAGCACACACUUCCCUACAGCAUGCUGACACACAGGCCACUUCUGCCCAUCCCCUGCAGCCAUCCCUGACUCAUCUCCUCAACUCAGAGCUUG
rnacentral:lncRNA from 1 species